UACGGAGGGAGCUAGCGUUGUUCGGAAUUACUGGGCGUAAAGCGCACGUAGGCGGCUUUGUAAGUUAGAGGUGAAAGCCCGGGGCUCAACCCCGGAAUUGCCUUUAAGACUGCAUCGUUUGAAUCCAGGAGAGGUGAGUGGAAUUCCGAGUGUAGAGGUGAAAUUCGUAGAUAUUCGGAAGAACACCAGUGGCGAAGGCGGCUCACUGGACUGGUAUUGACGCUGAGGUGCGAAAGCGUGGGGAGCAAACAGG
rnacentral:rRNA from 1 species